rnacentral:rRNA from 1 species
GGAAUAUUGGACAAUGGGCGCAAGCCUGAUCCAGCCAUACCGCGUGGGUGAAGAAGGCCUUCGGGUUGUAAAGCCCUUUUGUUGGGAAAGAAAAGCAGUCGAUUAAUACUCGGUUGUUCUGACGGUACCCAAAGAAUAAGCACCGGCUAACUUCGUGCCAGCAGCCGCGGUAAUACGAAGGGUGCAAGCGUUACUCGGAAUUACUGGGCGUAAAGCGUGCGUAGGUGGUUGUUUAAGUCUGUUGUGAAAGCCCUGGGCUCAACCUGGGAAUUGCAGUGGAUACUGGGCGACUAGAGUGUGGUAGGGGGUAGUGGAAUUCCCGGUGUAGCAGUGAAAUGCGUAGAGAUCGGGAGGAACAUCCAUGGCGAAGGCAGCUACCUGGACCAACACUGACACUGAGAGACGAAAGCUAGGGGAGCGAAUGGGAUUAGAUACCCUGG